UUCAACUUCUCAGACUUUCCAACAGGUUCCUUAUUGUCUUAGCAGCUUUAUCCUACAGUGAGCCAUUCCCAACCCAACCACCAGAACCCUGGCUGGCUGCUCCCAAGGCAGUGAUUGCUGGCGUAUGUAUGAUGCUCUCUGCGGUGAACUUUUCCCGACCUAAAUGCUGAUGCCCCCUUGUUGCCGUUUAUUCCUGCCUUGUACCGGCCUCACUCGUUGGUUUUCUAUGGUUGGCAAUGACAUCUGUCAGCGCUUAAAAAACAAUGAGGUGAGAAGGCUUAGAGGAUCAGAAACCAAGAGACAGGCACAGACUACCAAAACUGACUCAAGAGGAAAUAGAAAAUAUGUACAAGAGUGUAACAAAUGGAGAGAUUGGAUAGGGGUGUUUUGUUUUGUUUUCAGUGCCCAGAAUACAAGCUGA
rnacentral:lncRNA from 1 species